rnacentral:ncRNA from 1 species
UGACGAUAAUAGCAAACUUAUCGAAAGGUAAGGACGCAAAGCCAUGGGUCUAAAGAUAAUAAAUUAUUCAAUGAUAGCCAGGUUGCCGAA